ACAAGCAGAGGGGGCUUAGUGGUGGGGUGACUGCGUACCUUUUGUAUAAUGGGUCAGCGACUUAUAUUCUGUAGCAAGGUUAACCGUAUAGGGGAGCCGCAGGGAAACCGAGUCUUAACCGGGCGUUAAGUUGCAGGGUAUAGACCCGAAACCCGGUGAUCUAGCCAUGGGCAGGUUGAAGGUUGGGUAACACUAACUGGAGGACCGAACCGACUAAUGUUGAAAAAUUAGCGGAUGACCUGUGGCUGGGGGUGAAAGGCCAAUCAAACCGGGAGAUAGCUGGUUCUCCCCGAAAGCUAUUUAGGUAGCGCCUCGUGAAUUCAUCUCCGGGGGUAGAGCACUGUUUCGGCUAGGGGGCCAUCCCGGCUUACCAACCCGAUGCAAACUGCGAAUACCGGAGAAUGUUAUCACGGGAGACACACGGCGGGUGCUAACGUCCGUCGUGAAGAGGGAAACAACCCAGACCGCCAGCUAAGGUCCCAAAGUCAUGGUUAAGUGGGAAACGAUGUGGGAAGGCCCAGACAGCCAGGAUGUUGGCUUAGAAGCAGCCAUCAUUUAAAGAAAGCGUAAUAGCUCACUGGUCGAGUCGGCCUGCGCGGAAGAUGUAACGGGGCUAAACCAUGCACCGAAGCUGCGGCAGCGAACGUAUCACUUAAAGCGAUUCAGCGGGUUACGAUUGACGAAGCGAAGCGACGUCAAAGCGUAUACAAAGUCGAGUCGGUUUAAGGAUACGUUCGUUGGGUAGGGGAGCGUUCUGUAAGCCUGUGAAGGUGUGUCGUGAGGCAUGCUGGAGGUAUCAGAAGUGCGAAUGCUGACAUAAGUAACGAUAAAGCGGGUGAAAAGCCCGCUCGCCGGAAGACCAAGGGUUCCUGUCCAACGUUAAUCGGGGCAGGGUGAGUCGACCCCUAAGGCGAGGCCGAAAGGCGUAGUCGAUGGGAAACGGGUUAAUAUUCCCGUACUUGGUGUUACUGCGAAGGGGGGACGGAGAAGGCUAUGUUGGCCGGGCGACGGUUGUCCCGGUUUAAGCGUGUAGGUGUGUGUUCCAGGUAAAUCCGGUUCACUUUAACACUGAGGCGUGACGACGAGGCACUACGGUGCUGAAGCAACAAAUGCCCUGCUUCCAGGAAAAGCCUCUAAGCAUCAGGUAACAUCAAAUCGUACCCCAAACCGACACAGGUGGUCAGGUAGAGAAUACCAAGGCGCUUGAGAGAACUCGGGUGAAGGAACUAGGCAAAAUGGUGCCGUAACUUCGGGAGAAGGCACGCUGACACGUAGGUGAAGUGAUUUACUCAUGGAGCUGAAGUCAGUCGAAGAUACCAGCUGGCUGCAACUGUUUAUUAAAAACACAGCACUGUGCAAACACGAAAGUGGACGUAUACGGUGUGACGCCUGCCCGGUGCCGGAAGGUUAAUUGAUGGGGUCAGCGCAAGCGAAGCUCCUGAUCGAAGCCCCGGUAAACGGCGGCCGUAACUAUAACGGUCCUAAGGUAGCGAAAUUCCUUGUCGGGUAAGUUCCGACCUGCACGAAUGGCGUAAUGAUGGCCAGGCUGUCUCCACCCGAGACUCAGUGAAAUUGAACUCGCUGUGAAGAUGCAGUGUACCCGCGGCAAGACGGAAAGACCCCGUGAACCUUUACUAUAGCUUGACACUGAACAUUGAGCCUUGAUGUGUAGGAUAGGUGGGAGGCUUUGAAGCGUGGACGCCAGUCUGCGUGGAGCCAACCUUGAAAUACCACCCUUUAAUGUUUGAUGUUCUAACGUGGACCCGUUACCCGGGUUGCGGACAGUGUCUGGUGGGUAGUUUGACUGGGGCGGUCUCCUCCUAAAGAGUAACGGAGGAGCACGAAGGUUGGCUAAUCCUGGUCGGACAUCAGGAGGUUAGUGCAAUGGCAUAAGCCAGCUUGACUGCGAGCGUGACGGCGCGAGCAGGUGCGAAAGCAGGUCAUAGUGAUCCGGUGGUUCUGAAUGGAAGGGCCAUCGCUCAACGGAUAAAAGGUACUCCGGGGAUAACAGGCUGAUACCGCCCAAGAGUUCAUAUCGACGGCGGUGUUUGGCACCUCGAUGUCGGCUCAUCACAUCCUGGGGCUGAAGUAGGUCCCAAGGGUAUGGCUGUUCGCCAUUUAAAGUGGUACGCGAGCUGGGUUUAGAACGUCGUGAGACAGUUCGGUCCCUAUCUGCCGUGGGCGCUGGAGAACUGAGGGGGGCUGCUCCUAGUACGAGAGGACCGGAGUGGACGCAUCACUGGUGUUCGGGUUGUCAUGCCAAUGGCACUGCCCGGUAGCUAAAUGCGGAAGAGAUAAGUGCUGAAAGCAUCUAAGCACGAAACUUGCCCCGA
rnacentral:rRNA from 1 species